ACGGCGAGUGAAGCGGCAAUAGCUCAAAUUUGAAAGCUGGCCUUCUGGUCCGCAUUGUAAUUUGUAGAGGAUGCUUUGGGGAAGCCGCCUGUCUAAGUUCCUUGGAACAGGACGUCAUAGAGGGUGAGAAUCCCGUAUGUGACAGGAAAUGGCACCCUAUGUAAAGCUCCUUCGACGAGUCGAGUUGUUUGGGAAUGCAGCUCUAAAUGGGAGGUAAAUUUCUUCUAAAGCUAAAUACUGGCGAGAGACCGAUAGCGCACAAGUAGAGUGAUCGAAAGAUGAAAAGCACUUUGGAAAGAGAGUUAAAAAGCACGUGAAAUUGUUGAAAGGGAAGCGCUUGCAAUCAGACUUGUUCUGACUGUUCGGCCGGUCUUCUGACCGGUUUAUUCAGUCUGGGCAGGCCAGCAUCAGUUUCGGCGGUCGGAUAAAGGCCCUGGGAAUGUGGCUCUGCCUUCGGGGAGAGUGUUAUAGCCCAGGGUGUAAUACGGCCAGCCGGGACUGAGGUCCGCGCUUCGGCUAGGAUGCUGGCGUAAUGGUUGUAAGCGACCCGUCUUGAAACACGGACCAAGGAGUCUAACAUCUAUGCGAGUGUUCGGGUGUCAAACCCCUACGCGUAAUUAAAGUGAACGGAGGUGGGAACCGCAAGGUGCACCAUCGACCGAUCCUGAUGUCUUCGGAUGGAUUUGAGUAAGAGCAUAGCUGUUGGGACCCGAAAGAUGGUGAACUAUGCCUGAAUAGGGUGAAGCCAGAGGAAACUCUGGUGGAGGCUCGCAGCGGUUCUGACGUGCAAAUCGAUCGUCAAAUUUGGGUAUAGGGGCGAAAGACUAAUCGAACCAUCUAGUAGCUGGUUCCU
rnacentral:rRNA from 1 species